UGGUAACGAGAUUGCUUUCUUGG
rnacentral:snRNA from 1 species